GGGCUGCGGAGCGGGAGCUGCCAGACAGGGAGGCAAGGAGAUUGGGACAAUAGCUGGAGUGGAUUACUCAUUCCCGUAGGCAAUACUUGCCUGUAUGGGCUUCAGGAUGCAGUUGGAAGCUUGGGAACAAAGCGGGCAUCGAAUGUCAAGGAUCCUUUUGAGGAAGAAAUAGUUCUGCUAGGACUCCAUACUUGGACUUUGGAGGGCAUGGCACAGCGGUCUGAUAUGAGAGCACUAUCCCUGCAGAUGGAAACUGUCCUCUGUAUCCUGCGCCCUGCAAGAGAGGCAGCGAGGGGACACUUGAAGUAACCAAGCAUCUGGCAUCAAGCCUGACAAUCCACUUCACACUAUGUGAAGGAAAGUUUGUUCCAAACCACAUACUUUGUGGUGCUCAAUACUGGUGUCAAACUGGUUUGAACUGUCCCAGGUCUAAAAUAAAUAUCUCCAUUAUGGUAUGACAGUGAA